rnacentral:rRNA from 1 species
ACUCAAAGGAAUAGACGGGGGCCCGCACAAGCAGCGGAGCGUGUGGUUUAAUUCGAUGAUACACGAAGCACCUUACCAGGGUUUGACAUGGGCGUUGUAGUGAAGCGAAAGCCGAACGACCCUUCGGGGAGCGUCCACAGGUGCUGCAUGGCUGUCGUCAGCUCGUGCCGUGAGGUGUUAGGUUAAGUCCUAUAACGAGCGCAGCCCCUACUGCCAGUUACACGUGUCUGGCGGGACUGCCGGUCAUAAGCCGGAGGAAGGUGGGGACGACGUCAAGUCCGCAUGGCCUUUAUAUCCUGGGCGACACACACGCUACAAUGGCCGGUACAAUGGGUUGCCAACGCGCGAGCGGGAGCUAAUCCCCUAAAACCGGCCUCAGUUCGGAUUGUAGGCUGCAACCCGCCUGCAUGAAGCUGGAGUUGCUAGUAAACGCGCGUCAGCUAUAGUGCGUUGAAUACGUUCCCGGGCCUUGUACACACCGCCCGU